rnacentral:sRNA from 1 species
UAGAGGAUUAACAGCCCAAAGUUUGGAUUAAAAAAAAA